rnacentral:rRNA from 1 species
GACGAACGCUGGCGGCGUGCUUAACACAUGCAAGUCGAACGGAAAGGCCCUGCUUUUGUGGGGUGCUCGAGUGGCGAACGGGUGAGUAACACGUGAGUAACCUGCCCUUGACUUUGGGAUAACUUCAGGAAACUGGGGCUAAUACCGGAUAGGAGCUCCUGCUGCAUGGUGGGGGUUGGAAAGUUUCGGCGGUUGGGGAUGGACGCGCGGCUUAUCAGCUUGUUGGUGGGGUAGUGGCUUACCAAGGCUUUGACGGGUAGCCGGCCUGAGAGGGUGACCGGCCACAUUGGGACUGAGAGACGGCCCAGACUCCUACGGGAGGCAGCAGUGGGGAAUAUUGCACAAUGGGCGGAAGCCUGAUGCAGCAACGCCGCGUGCGGGAUGACGGCCUUCGGGUUGUAAACCGCUUUCGCCUGUGACGAAGCGUGAGUGACGGUAAUGGGUAAAGAAGCACCGGCUAACUACGUG